rnacentral:rRNA from 1 species
GACGAACGCUGGCGGCGUGCUUAACACAUGCAAGUCGAACGGUGAAGCGCCUUCCUUUUUGGUGGGUGUGGAUGAGUGGCGAACGGGUGAGUAACACGUGAGUAACCUGCCCCCUUCUUCUGGAUAACCGCAUGAAAGUGUGGCUAAUACGGGAUAUUCUGGGUCUGUCGCAUGAUGGGUCUGGGAAAGAUAUUGUUUCGGUGGGGGAUGGGCUCGCGGCCUAUCAGCUUGUUGGUGGGGUGAUGGCCUACCAAGGCGGUGACGGGUAGCCGGCCUGAGAGGGCGGACGGUCACACUGGGACUGAGACACGGCCCAGACUCCUACGGGAGGCAGCAGUGGGGAAUAUUGCACAAUGGGCGCAAGCCUGAUGCAGCGACGCCGCGUGAGGGAUGGAGGCCUUCGGGUUGUGAACCUCUUUCGCCAGUGAAGCAGGCCUGCCUCGUUUGUGGGUGGGUUGACGGUAGCUGGAUAAGAAGCGCCGGCUAACUACGUG